UACGGAGGAUCCAAGCGUUAUCCGGAAUCAUUGGGUUUAAAGGGUCCGUAGGCGGGCCUGUAAGUCAGUGGUGAAAUCUUCGGCUCACCGGAAAAUUGCCAUUGAUACUGCAGGCCUUGAAUUAUUGGGAAGUAACUAGAAUAUGUAGUGUAGCGGUGAAAUGCUUAGAUAUUACAUGGAAUACCGAUUGCGAAAGGCAGGUUACUAUCAAUAUAUUGACGCUGAUGGACGAAAGCGUGGGGAGCGAACAGGAAUU
rnacentral:rRNA from 1 species